CCAAACUUGGUCAUUUAGAGGAAGUACAAGUCGUAACAAGGUUUCCGUAGGUGAACCUGCGGAAGGAUCAUUAACAAAUCUUUCAUAUAAACCUGUUGCACCGUCCGUGGGGCCAUUGUCGCGAGACGAUGGCUGAGCGGAGCGAGGUUGAGCGCGUGGUUGCUCUGUCAUCGUGAGAUGAUAGUGGUGAUCACAUUGCGAGACCUCAUCAAAUUAACGUCUACUUGUUUUUAAUUGUUCCAACGAGAAAAAAGUACAACUAUUAACAGUGGAUCUCUUGGCUCCCGCAUCGAUGAAGAACGCAGC
rnacentral:misc_RNA from 1 species